GACGGAAGGUGCAAGCGUUGAUCGGAAUCACUGGGCGUAAAGGGUGCGUAGGCGGCUUGGUAAGUUGGGUGUGAAAGCCCCGGGCUCAGCCCGGGAAGGGCACUCGAAACUGCCGAGCUGGAGUGCCGGAGGGGAGAGUGGAAUUCCUGGUGUAGCGGUGAAAUGCGUAGAUAUCAGGAGGAAUACCGGUGGCGAAAGCGACUCUCUGGACGGCAACUGACGCUGAGGCACGAAAGCGUGGGGAGCAAGCAGG
rnacentral:rRNA from 1 species